rnacentral:rRNA from 1 species
AUUGAACGCUAGCGGGAUGCCUUACACAUGCAAGUCGAACGGAGUGGCGAACGGGUGAGUAAUGUAUCGGAACGUGCCCAGUAGCGGGGGAUAACUACGCGAAAGCGUAGCUAAUACCGCAUACCAUUGGACCGGCCGAUAUCGGAUUAGCUAGUUGGGGGGGUAACGGCUCACAAAGGCGCCGAUCCGUAGCAGGUUUUAGAGGACGACCAGCCACACUGGGACGAGGGCACGGCCCAGACUCCUACGGGAGGCAGCGGUGGGAAAUUUUGGCCAAUGGGGGAAACCCUGAUCCAGCCAUCCAGCGUGUGCGAUGAAGGCCUUCGGGUUGUAAAGCACUUUUGGCAGGAAAGCGGUACCUGCAGAAUAAGCACCGGCUAACUACGUGCCAGCCGCCGCGGUAAUAC